UACAGAGGUCUCAAGCGUUGUUCGGAUUCAUUGGGCGUAAAGCGUGCGUAGGUGGUUCGUUAAGUCUGAUGUGAAAGCCCCGGGCUCAACCUGGGAACUGCAUUGGAUACUGGCGAUCUGGAGUGCGGUAGAGGGUGGCGGAAUUCCCGGUGUAGCAGUGAAAUGCGUAGAUAUCGGGAGGAACAUCCGUGGCGAAGGCGGCCACCUGGACCAGCACUGACACUGAGGCACGAAAGCGUGGGGAGCAAACAGG
rnacentral:rRNA from 1 species